rnacentral:rRNA from 1 species
GAACGCUGGCUCCAGGCCUAACACAUGCAAGUCGAGCGCCGUAGCAAUACGGAGCGGCAGACGGGAGAGCAACACGUGGGAACGUGCCCUUCAGUUCGGAACAACCCAGGGAAACUUGGGCUAAUACCGGAUACGUCCGUAAGGAGAAAGAUUUAUCGCUGAAGGAUCGGCCCGCGUCUGAUUAGCUAGUUGGUGAGGUAACGGCUCACCAAGGCGACGAUCAGUAGCUGGUCUGAGAGGAUGAUCAGCCUCACUGGGACUGAGACACGGCCCAGACUCCUACGGGAGGCAGCAGUGGG